ACUCCUACGGGAGGCAGCAGUGGGAAUAUUGCACAAUGGGGAAGCCCAUCGAUGCAGCCAUGCCGCGCUGUGUGAAGAAGGCCAAUUCGGGCUUUGGUUAAAGACACUUUCAGUAGGGAGGAAGGUAGUGUAGUUAACACCUGCAUCUUAUUGACUGUACCUACAGAAGAAGCACCGGCUAACUCCGUGCCAGCAGCCGCGGUAAUACGGAGGGUGCGAGCGUUAAUCGGAAUUACUGGGCGUAAAGCGCAUGCAGGCGGCCUGUUAAGUCAGAUGUG
rnacentral:rRNA from 1 species